AUUAAAUAAUUCCAUUUCAUAAUAGGUAAUCACUUCCGGUGGUGUUACUUACAAAAAUGAACCAUGGCAUCGUGAAUGCUUCACUUGCACCCAUUGCAAUAUUACUUUAGCUGGGCAGCGAUUCACAAGUCGCGAUGAGAAACCCUACUGUGCUGAGUGUUUCGGCGAGCUCUUCGCUAAACGUUGUACAGCAUGUGUUAAGCCAAUAACAGGCAUUGGCGGCACACGUUUCAUUUCAUUUGAGGAUCGUCACUGGCAUCACGAUUGCUUUGUAUGUGCCAGUUG